GGAACCAUGGUUCGCGGAGUUGGCGACUCGCCGGACCUGGGUUCCGCCGGAAGGGGGAGCCCGGAGCCUGGGCGUUCGACGGGAGGUGAAGAGCGAGGGCGAGUGGACGGUCACCGGAGGCUUGGCUAAGCCCAGGGGGCCGAGGGAGAGGACCCGGGGCUCUCGUUGGGGCAGGAUACCAUGCUCUGAAGAAUUUAAGAACCAAAAGGCCUCUCUCUGGAUUCAUAAUAUCAAUCGAAUGCCGUCCAUCAGGAUGGAGCUAGGAUGUUUGCAUAAAACCUUAAUAUCUUAAAUGUGCUCCACCAAAACAGAUGCAGGGCCUUUCUGCCAAGAACUUAAAUGUGGAGAGGUGAACAAAGAACGGCAUUUCUUCUCCAAAGACCAAGUCUUGAAAUUCACCCUUGCAUCAGCCACAGGUGCAGAAUGUAUUUAUGCCAGGAAAUGACAAAAAUCAAUGGAUAACUGAAGCAGAAAUGAACGUUGCUAUAAAAAUCUUCUCCCAAAGAAAACCCCUGACUCAGAUGGCUUCACGAAUGAAUUCUAUAGUAUUUAUGGAAGAAAUCAAGCCAUUCUACAUAAACACUUCCUAAAAUAAAGGAGGAAGACAGACUUCAUAUCUAGUUUUUUGAGGUCAGCAAAUUGUGAUGUUACAGCCACUAUUACAGUUGAAGUAUUCAGCUUCUAUGCACGUAGCAACAGCAAGGAGAGGAUCUGUUCUUUGGAAUGUCCUACUGAUACCAAGGUCCUUGUUCAUGGAGUCCAAGAAUGAACUUGCAAACACUCAAGUAAAGUGGCAGAUUCUGGAAGAUCACGUCAGCAACCCAAAACCUGAGAUUUAAAGUUUCAUGUUCUUGUAAGGAGGCCAUCGGCCCAGAAGGUGCACCAUCCAAGCGACCAAUCCCUGAUCACCACAGAACUCACCUGUUGUCUUUGUUCCUUGUUCAGUUUCUAUUUUUCUCCUACUUGUUCAUAUCCUAUAAACUCUUGCCAUUUUCUCCCCUGCCUCCCAGUUUUCUGGACCUUUGAGGACAGACAGAGGCUGCCUACUCCAUGCAGUGUUCAAGUGUUAAAGAAAACAUUUAUAUAAAGCCUGUUUGUAUCACCUAAAUUGUCUUUAUUUUUUUAAAGCAUUCGUAAAACUUGAAGCAAUUUGGGGGAAGGGUAGGCAUGCAGUAAGAAUUCGUUAAAUUAUUACUGAAUCUAAGAAUAAAGAAAUAUCACCUGACCACCAUAUCUUGGUCUUUUCAGAAAAAGAAAAGGGGCCAGUGGCCCCUUUAUUGUCAGUGUUUCCGUAAGUGCUAAUUCCU